AUGCGUCUUGACAGACCGAUGCCGGCUGCUAAGGUUUCCGCUCUAGAUGCAAGGGAAAGAAGGUCCUCGUGCUUUCUGUCUGUCUGGUUGUGGCAGCCAAGAUUAAAUAGGGGAAUGCAGGA
rnacentral:snoRNA from 1 species